ensembl:misc_RNA Metazoa_SRP Metazoan signal recognition particle RNA
GAAAAGAAAAAGAAAUUAGUCCCAGCUACUCAGGAGGCUGAGGUGAGGGGAUCACUUGAGUCUUAAGAGCUCUGGGUUAUAGUGAGCUAUGCCAAUCAGGUGUCCACACUAAGUUCAGCAUCAGUAUGGUGACCUUCUGGGAGUUGGAGACCACCAGACUGCCUAAGGAGGGGUGAACUGGCCCAGAUCCAAAAGUGAUUAAGUUAAAACUCCCAUGCUGAUCAGUAGUGAGAUCAUGCCUGUGAAUAGCCACUGCAUUCCAACCUGGGCAAAUUAUUAAUAGCAAGACCCUGUCUCU